GAGAAGGAAGGCAAGAAUGUUAGACCACAACAAUACAUGCAAAAUUUCAGAGAUUGUGUAGAUGAUUGUGAGCUACAAGAAGUCACGACUAUUGGAGAUCAUUUUACCUGGAGUCGUGGAGUAAUCAGAGAGCGCGUAGAUAGAGGCCUUUGUAAUGAGCAAUGGGCUGUUAUGUUCCCGUUUGCGGGCUUGAUUCAUGAACACCACGUCCACUUUGAUCAUAGACCGAUUCUAUUGGACACUGAUUAUUUUGCUUCUGCUAUGGGACAGAAACCUUGUGGGGAAAGAAAGUUUGAAGCAAGGUGGUUGAAUGAAGCUACAUUGGAUGAGAUAAUCCACACUGCUUAUGAAAGAGCUAAGCUUGCGGGGAUUGGGCCUUCACUUUCGGACCGCACAAAAGCAAUUAAGGAUGACUUACACCAGUGGGAUAGAAAUACACUUCAGGGGCCUAAGAAAAGAAUACAGAAGUUGAUGAAGGAACUAGAGAAGCUGAGAAGAGGACCGCUGACUAUGGAGGUACGCCAGAAGUUGAAGGAAACUCAAAUCCUUAUUGAGAACCUGCUAGAUCAGGAAGAAUUGACUUGGUUGCAGCGUGGGUGA
rnacentral:rRNA from 1 species